rnacentral:lncRNA from 1 species
CACUGUACAGGCAGAGCCUCAAGGAGGGCCGUGGACCUUUGGAGACAAAGGAUCCAAGGAUUCUUUCUCUGGUCACCUUCCCCAGCAGCAAGUGACUGCACACAGCCUUGGAAGCCACGAUUUGUCCCCGUCGCUCUGACCAGCCAGUAAGCACUGGGAGCACCACCAAGGUACAGAGGUGUCCGGAAGGGCCUACCUUCUGAGCAGGCCUCGCCUCCUUUGCCCAGGUUGCAAUGGCAUCGUGAGCCUCCCCAGGCGUAGUCAUUGACACAGAAGCUGUCAGCUGAACAGAGGGUUUCGUCACAGGACAUGUCAAAGAGCCUUGACAUCACGGCCACACUGUUCUUCCCCUUCCGUUGGGCUGGCGUGGGUGGCACAGCCACUGUAGUUUCAGGGAGAGAUGCUGAGACAUUGAGAUCUACUUUACUAAGGAGUGAACUGAGGCUUGGAGAGCCCGUGGAAGGUUCCAGAAGAGGGAAGUCAUCGUACAGAGCUCAUGACACUGCACAGCAGCCUCUCAGCAGCAUUCCAAACUUCCAGUCUUUGACAGUGAUGCAGAUUAUGCAGAUUUCAUGCUCACCGAGAAGGAAAUAAAUACAGAUAAAACCAGGCCCUGUGUGACUGCAGGAGGCCUGGGACGUGAAAGCC